rnacentral:rRNA from 1 species
CAGCUCCAAUAGCGUAUAUUUAAGUUGCUGCAGUUAAAAAGCUCGUAGUUGGAUUUCGGGUGGGGCCUGCCGGUCCGCCGUUUCGGUGUGCACUGGCCGGGCCACCUUGUUGCCGGGGACGGGCUCCUGGGCUUCACUGUCCGGGGACUCGGAGUCGGCGAGGUUACUUUGAGUAAAUUAGAGUGUUCAAAGCGGGCUUA